CAACCAUGAUGUGGACAUGUAACUAGGAGACCCUUGAAUCUCUCCCACGUUUCAUGCAGCAUCUCAGUGGGUCUUUAUUUGAAGCUCAAUAUCUCAUCAAUUUGUUG
rnacentral:snoRNA from 1 species